GAUGAACGCUGGCGGCGUGCUUAACACAUGCAAGUCGAACGGGAAACCUUUUAUUGAAGCUUCGGCAGAUUUAGCUGGUUUCUAGUGGCGGACGGGUGAGUAACGCGUGGGUAACCUGCCUUAUGCAGGGGGAUAACAGUCAGAAAUGGCUGCUAAUACCGCAUAAGCGCACAGAGCUGCAUGGCUCAGUGUGAAAAACUCCGGUGGUAUAAGAUGGACCCGCGUUGGAUUAGCUGGUUGGUGGGGUAACGGCCCACCAAGGCGACGAUCCAUAGCCGGCCUGAGAGGGUGAACGGCCACAUUGGGACUGAGACACGGCCCAGACUCCUACGGGAGGCAGCAGUGGGGAAUAUUGCACAAUGGGGGAAACCCUGAUGCAGCGACGCCGCGUGAAGGAAGAAGUAUCUCGGUAUGUAAACUUCUAUCAGCAGGGGAGAUAAUGACGGUACCUGACUAAGAAGCCCCGGCUAACUACGUG
rnacentral:rRNA from 1 species